AGUCUGAUCCUAAAUCAUCCAGGAGAAUCAGGAGUACAACUGCUCAAAGAUCUACAGGAGGAUCCACAAUGUAACCUGAAGGAACUAUAUAUCUGAACAUAUUGAAUUAUGAGAAGAAGAAGAUGAAGAACAGUGGAGAAAUUACAGAUGUUUGUGAGGUCUCACUGUUAGAACGUCUUAACAUAACCACAAAGAUGUCUAGAGAACUGACUAAAGAAAGUCUCUUCUGUAUGAUUCUACCCAAGUUCUUUGAAAGGAACCUUGUUGAAUGGUCAGAACAGACCCACAAAGACAUCAAACAGUAGAGGUGCUGUGUUGAGGGGUACAUAAUCCCCUAUUUGGCAAGUUCAAAUCAGACCACAGUUUUGUACAGACUAUUACCCACAAUCCACUGUGAUCCUGUGAUGUUUCUACCAGUAACCAGUUGGUACCCCUGACACAUUACCAACAUGGACUGUAGUGUAAACACUCACCUGUAAUAUUCUAGCUAGGGCUGGACGAUAUGGCUAAAAUUUCUAUCACGAUAUAACUCCUAAUUUCGGUCGAUACGAUAUAAUUCCGAUAUCGAUAUGAAUAAUACAAAUGUCAGAAAAACUGCCACCAAAUUGGAUGGCUGUACCUGCAAACCUCUUUUCUGGUUUCUGGCAAGAAAUACAAGCAAAAUAAACCACUGAAUCAGUC